rnacentral:rRNA from 1 species
AUACGGGGGGAGCAAGCGUUAUUCGGAAUCACUGGGCGUAAAGGGUGCGUAGGCGGUUUGGUAAGUCUGAUGUGAAAUCCUAUGGCUCAACCAUAGAACUGCAUUGGAAACUGCUAAACUAGAAUACUGAAGGGGCAGAUGGAAUUAGUGGUGUAGGGGUAAAAUCCGUAGAUAUCACUAGGAAUACCGAAAGCGAAAGCGAUCUGCUGGGAAGUUAUUGACGCUGAGGCACGAAAGCGUGGGGAGCAAACGGGAUUAGAUACCCCUGUAGUCC